CCUACGGGUGGCAGCAGUAGGGAAUAUUGCUCAAUGGGGGAAACCCUGAAGCAGCAACGCCGCGUGGAGGAUGAAGGUUUUCGGAUUGUAAACUCCUUUUGUUAGAGAAGAUAAUGACGGUAUCUAACGAAUAAGCACCGGCUAACUCCGUGCCAGCAGCCGCGGUAAUACGGAGGGUGCAAGCGUUACUCGGAAUCACUGGGCGUAAAGAGCGAGUAGGCGGGAUAGCAAGUCAGAUGUGAAAUCCUAUGGCUUAACCAUAGAACUGCAAUUGAAACUGUUAUUCUAGAGUAUGGGAGAGGUAGGUGGAAUUCUUGGUGUAGGGGUAAAAUGCGUAGAGAUCAAGAGGAAUACUGAUUGCGAAGGCGACCUGCUAGAACGUCACUGACGCUGAUGCGCGAAAGCGUGGGGAGCAAACAGGAUUAGAUACCCUAGUAGUC
rnacentral:rRNA from 1 species